AUUGCCUUGGUUCACCACCACUCUUUUGCGGAUGUCAAGCAAUUGUCAUCCACUCAUUACUUUGAGAAAAUUAGAGCGCUCCAAGCAGGCUCCAAAACACGCCUUGUAUAGUUCAGCAUGGAAUAAUGGAACAUGUCUUUACAUGUUUUUUAUUGGAUUUAUGCAUGUUAGAGAAAUGAUUAAUGCGGAUGACUCGAGGGCAUCAGUAUGCACGGGGGAGAGGUGAAAUUUUAUGAUCCCGGACAGACUAACAGAUGCGAAAGCGCUUGCCAAGGGCUUCCCGAUCAAUCAAGAACGAAAGUAGAGGGAUCGAAGAUGAUCAGAUACCGUCGUAGUCUCUACUAUAAAUGAUGAUGACUGACUGAAGUGGGAGUAGAUGUAGCUAACACUGCAUUCACCUUGCUCCGGUCGUUGAGAAAUCAUUAAGUAUUCAUCUCUGGGGGGAGUAUGAUCGCAAGAUUGAAACUUAAAGGAAUUGACGGAAGGACACCACCAGAUGUGGAAUCUGCGGCUUAAUUUGACUCAACACGGGGAAACUUACGGAGUCCUGACAUAUUGAGGAUUGACAGACUAAUAGAUCUUUCAUGAUUGUGUGGGUAGUGGUGCAUGGCCGUUCUUAGUUGGUGGAGUGAUUUGUCUGGUCAAUUCCGAUAACGAACGAGACCUUGAAACGAUAACUAGGGGUCCAAUGGCAACAUUGGGGUCCUCUUCUUAUAUUGACUGUUAGCGAC
rnacentral:rRNA from 1 species